rnacentral:misc_RNA from 1 species
GAUGAAGAACGUAGCGAAAUGCGAUACGUAAUGUGAAUUGCAGAAUUCAGUGAAUCAUCGAAUCUUUGAACGCAUAUUGCGCUCUUUGGUAUUUCGAAGAGCAUGCUUGUUUGAGUAUCAGUAAACACCUCAACCUCUUCUUGAUUUUUCAAAAGGAGGGUGGACUUGAGCUAUCCCAACAACCUUUACCGGUCGGCGGGCGGCUUGAAAUGCAGGUGCAGCUGGACUUUUAUCUGAGCUAAAAGCAUAUCUAUUUAGUCCUCGUCAAACAGGAUUAUUACUUUUGCUGCAGCUAACAUAAAGGAUAAUUGUCCUCUUUGCUGACUGAUGCAGGAUUUUACGACACUUUAUGUGUUGUUCAACUCGAUCUCAAAUCAAGUAAGACUACCCGCUGAACUUAAGCAUAUCAAUAAGCGGAGGA